GAUGAAGAACGUAGCGAAAUGCGAUAAGUAAUGUGAAUUGCAGAAUUCAGUGAAUCAUCGAAUCUUUGAACGCACAUUGCGCCCGCUAGUAUUCUGGCGGGCAUGCCUGUUCGAGCGUCAUUUCAACCAUCAAGCCCUGCUUGUGUUGGGGUCCUGCGGCUGCCCGCAGGCCCUGAAAACCAGUGGCGGGCUCGCUAGUCACACCGAGCGCAGUAGCACAUCUCGCUCAGGGCGUGCGGCGGGUUCUUGCCGUAAAACACCCCCUUUUUACCAAGGUUGACCUCGGAUCAGGUAGGAAUACCCGCUGAACUUAAGCAUAUCAAUAGCGGAGGA
rnacentral:misc_RNA from 1 species